rnacentral:rRNA from 1 species
AGCGUACACGGUGGAUGCCCUGGCAGUCAGAGGCGAUGAAGGACGUGCUAAUCUGCGAUAAGCGUCGGUAAGGUGAUAUGAACCGUUAUAACCGGCGAUUUCCGAAUGGGGAAACCCAGUGUGAUUCGUCACACUAUCAUUAACUGAAUCCAUAGGUUAAUGAGGCGAACCGGGGGAACUGAAACAUCUAAGUACCCCGAGGAAAAGAAAUCAACCGAGAUUCCCCCAGUAGCGGCGAGCGAACGGGGAGGAGCCCAGAGCCUGAAUCAGUGUGUGUGUUAGUGGAAGCGUCUGGAAAGGCGCGCGAUACAGGGUGACAGCCCCGUACACAAAAAUGCACAUGCUGUGAGCUCGAUGAGUAGGGCGGGACACGUGGUAUCCUGUCUGAAUAUGGGGGGACCAUCCUCCAAGGCUAAAUACUCCUGACUGACCGAUAGUGAACCAGUACCGUGAGGGAAAGGCGAAAAGAACCCCGGCGAGGGGAGUGAAAAAGAACCUGAAACCGUGUACGUACAAGCAGUGGGAGCACGCUUAGGCGUGUGACUGCGUACCUUUUGUAUAAUGGGUCAGCGACUUAUAUUCUGUAGCAAGGUUAACCGAAUAGGGGAGCCGAAGGGAAACCGAGUCUUAACUGGGCGUUAAGUUGCAGGGUAUAGACCCGAAACCCGGUGAUCUAGCCAUGGGCAGGUUGAAGGUUGGGUAACACUAACUGGAGGACCGAACCGACUAAUGUUGAAAAAUUAGCGGAUGACUUGUGGCUGGGGGUGAAAGGCCAAUCAAACCGGGAGAUAGCUGGUUCUCCCCGAAAGCUAUUUAGGUAGCGCCUCGUGAAUUCAUCUCCGGGGGUAGAGCACUGUUUCGGCAAGGGGGUCAUCCCGACUUACCAACCCGAUGCAAACUGCGAAUACCGGAGAAUGUUAUCACGGGAGACACACGGCGGGUGCUAACGUCCGUCGUGAAGAGGGAAACAACCCAGACCGCCAGCUAAGGUCCCAAAGUCAUGGUUAAGUGGGAAACGAUGUGGGAAGGCCCAGACAGCCAGGAUGUUGGCUUAGAAGCAGCCAUCAUUUAAAGAAAGCGUAAUAGCUCACUGGUCGAGUCGGCCUGCGCGGAAGAUGUAACGGGGCUAAACCAUGCACCGAAGCUGCGGCAGCGACGCUUAUGCGUUGUUGGGUAGGGGAGCGUUCUGUAAGCCUGUGAAGGUGUGCUGUGAGGCAUGCUGGAGGUAUCAGAAGUGCGAAUGCUGACAUAAGUAACGAUAAAGCGGGUGAAAAGCCCGCUCGCCGGAAGACCAAGGGUUCCUGUCCAACGUUAAUCGGGGCAGGGUGAGUCGACCCCUAAGGCGAGGCCGAAAGGCGUAGUCGAUGGGAAACAGGUUAAUAUUCCUGUACUUGGUGUUACUGCGAAGGGGGGACGGAGAAGGCUAUGUUGGCCGGGCGACGGUUGUCCCGGUUUAAGCGUGUAGGCUGGUUUUCCAGGCAAAUCCGGAAAAUCAAGGCUGAGGCGUGAUGACGAGGCACUACGGUGCUGAAGCAACAAAUGCCCUGCUUCCAGGAAAAGCCUCUAAGCAUCAGGUAACAUCAAAUCGUACCCCAAACCGACACAGGUGGUCAGGUAGAGAAUACCAAGGCGCUUGAGAGAACUCGGGUGAAGGAACUAGGCAAAAUGGUGCCGUAACUUCGGGAGAAGGCACGCUGAUAUGUAGGUGAAGUCCCUCGCGGAUGGAGCUGAAAUCAGUCGAAGAUACCAGCUGGCUGCAACUGUUUAUUAAAAACACAGCACUGUGCAAACACGAAAGUGGACGUAUACGGUGUGACGCCUGCCCGGUGCCGGAAGGUUAAUUGAUGGGGUUAGCGCAAGCGAAGCUCUUGAUCGAAGCCCCGGUAAACGGCGGCCGUAACUAUAACGGUCCUAAGGUAGCGAAAUUCCUUGUCGGGUAAGUUCCGACCUGCACGAAUGGCGUAAUGAUGGCCAGGCUGUCUCCACCCGAGACUCAGUGAAAUUGAACUCGCUGUGAAGAUGCAGUGUACCCGCGGCAAGACGGAAAGACCCCGUGAACCUUUACUAUAGCUUGACACUGAACAUUGAGCCUUGAUGUGUAGGAUAGGUGGGAGGCUUUGAAGUGUGGACGCCAGUCUGCAUGGAGCCGACCUUGAAAUACCACCCUUUAAUGUUUGAUGUUCUAACGUUGACCCGUAAUCCGGGUUGCGGACAGUGUCUGGUGGGUAGUUUGACUGGGGCGGUCUCCUCCUAAAGAGUAACGGAGGAGCACGAAGGUUGGCUAAUCCUGGUCGGACAUCAGGAGGUUAGUGCAAUGGCAUAAGCCAGCUUGACUGCGAGCGUGACGGCGCGAGCAGGUGCGAAAGCAGGUCAUAGUGAUCCGGUGGUUCUGAAUGGAAGGGCCAUCGCUCAACGGAUAAAAGGUACUCCGGGGAUAACAGGCUGAUACCGCCCAAGAGUUCAUAUCGACGGCGGUGUUUGGCACCUCGAUGUCGGCUCAUCACAUCCUGGGGCUGAAGUAGGUCCCAAGGGUAUGGCUGUUCGCCAUUUAAAGUGGUACGCGAGCUGGGUUUAGAACGUCGUGAGACAGUUCGGUCCCUAUCUGCCGUGGGCGCUGGAGAACUGAGGGGGGCUGCUCCUAGUACGAGAGGACCGGAGUGGACGCAUCACUGGUGUUCGGGUUGUCAUGCCAAUGGCACUGCCCGGUAGCUAAAUGCGGAAGAGAUAAGUGCUGAAAGCAUCUAAGCACGAAACUUGCCCCGAGAUGAGUUCUCCCUGACUCCUUGA